rnacentral:rRNA from 1 species
GAUGAACGCUGGCGGCGUGCCUAAUACAUGCAAGUCGAGCGAACAGACGAGGAGCUUGCUCCUUUGACGUUAGCGGCGGACGGGUGAGUAACACGUGGAUAACCUACCUAUAAGACUGGGAUAACUUCGGGAAACCGGAGCUAAUACCGGAUAACAUGUUGAACCGCAUGGUUCAACAGUGAAAGACGGUCUUGCUGUCACUUUUAGAUGGAUCCGCGCCGCAUUAGCUAGUUGGUAAGGUAACGGCUUACCAAGGCAACGAUGCGUAGCCGACCUGAGAGGGUGAUCGGCCACACUGGAACUGAGACACGGUCCAGACUCCUACGGGAGGCAGCAGUAGGGAAUCUUCCGCAAUGGGCGAAAGCCUGACGGAGCAACGCCGCGUGAGUGAAGAAGGUCUUCGGAUCGUAAAACUCUGUUAUUAGGGAAGAACAAAUGUGUAAGUAACUAUGCACGUCUUGACGGUACCUAAUCAGAAAGCCACGGCUAACUACGUG